UACGGGGGGGGCGAGCGUUAAUCGGAAUUACUGGGCGUAAAGCGUGCGCAGGCGGUUCGUUAAGUUCGAUGUGAAAGCCCCGGGCUCAACCUGGGAACUGCAUUGGAAACUGGCGGGCUUGAGUGUGGCAGAGGGGGGUGGAAUUCCACGUGUAGCAGUGAAAUGCGUAGAGAUGUGGAGGAACACCGAUGGCGAAGGCAGCCCCCUGGGCUAACACUGACGCUCAGGCACGAAAGCGUGGGGAGCAAACAGG
rnacentral:rRNA from 1 species